UUCAUUCUUUAUCCUUAUUCAUUAUUAAUUUCCUUUUCUUGUGCCUUCUUAUGCAUGAGCCGAAGCGUCCCUGUUAUUUUGCUCACAGCCCUUCCAUAUCACUAAAUUAGUAGUUUGUUGUUUAUUACAUUUCAUCGUCGACACUUAAACAUUUUAAUUUCCCAUUUCUCAAUAAUUAACGUUGAUGAGUAUUACCCUAGAUAGUUCUCCAUUCCAGGCAUCAAAAGUAUGCAUCGUCUUCGAGUGCUAAAAUUAGAUGGCAUAAGUGUCUCCAACAUUAGCAACAUGGUGCAAUCUUUGAAGGCAUUCUCAUACCUCGAGCACUUCUAUUUUCGGGACAAUUAUAUAAAUGAAAGUAUUGGAACUUUUGAGUUGAGACAUUUAAGAUUGCUGGAGGGACUAUUCUUGGACAAUUCUACAGUCGAUGGGAACUUUCUACAAAGUAUUGGAGCAUUGAGUUCUCUCAAGAUUUUAUCUUUGUCUAGUUGCAAACUCAAUGGCAACCUACCCAUUCAAGCGUUGAGACAUUUAAGACAGUUGGAGCAAUUGUUCUUGGACUAUUCUGAUGUGGAUGGGAACUUUCUACAAAGUAUUGGAGCAUUGAGUUCCCUCAAGAUUUUAUCUUUGUCUAGUUGUGGACUCAAUGGCACCCUUCCCGUUCGAGGGUGGUGUGAACUUAAAAACCUCCAAGAGUUAUAUCUGAAUUGGAAUGAGUAUGAAGGAAUGCUUCCUUCAUGUGUUGCAAACAUGACCUCUCUUAGAUGGAUUGACCUCUCUUCCAAUAAGCUCACCGGAAAUAUUGCCUCAUCUCCACUUUCCAAACUCACAUCGCUCGAAGUUCUUUCUCUUUCAAGUAACCAUUUUCAAGUUCCAAUUUCUUUCAAGGCAUUCUUUAAUCAUUCGAACUUAAAGUCUUUAAAAGUGGGAAUCAAUGAAAUAAUAAAUGAAAACGAGUUGGAAAAAUGGGUUCCCAAUUUUCAACUAGAAGGUUUUGAUAUGUCAAAUUGUAGUGGCCAUCCAACACUACCCAACUUUUUGUACUAUCAAUCAAACUUGAGAUAUAUUAGUCUCUCAAAGAACAACAUAGGAGGGAAUUUUCCAACUUGGUUGUUAGAGAACAAUACAGGACUUUCGACACUUCUCCUGAGAGCUAAUGCUUUUUAUAGGAACUCUCAUGUUGCCAACAAGCACCAAUCAUGACAUGCAGAAUUUCGAUGUAACUAAUAAUAAGUUCAAUGGACGUAUUCCAAUUAACAUAACUUCUAUUUUUCCAAAUUUGUAUUUAUUAAACAUGUCAACAAAUAUGUUUGAUGGGUGUAUACCUUCUAGUUUUGGUGACUUAAAAUAUAUAGAUCAACUGGACUUGUCCAACAAUAACUUGUCAAGCACCAUUUCAAGUAGCUUGUCUACCAGAAAUUUAAUGGUGUUAGACAUUAGUAACAACCAUUUGUCUGGCAGAAUUCCCACUUCAGUGGGUAAUAUGACAUAUUUGAUAAUAGUUUCUAUGUCUAAUAACCAGCUUGAGGGUCUUAUCCCAAUGGAAAUUUGCAAUCUCGAGUAUCUUCACCUCUUAGAUUUAUCUCAUAACAAGUUAUGUGGUUCGGUCCCAUCCUGCUUCAAUACAUCAACAAUAAGUCAUGUCUAUCUGAACAAUAACCAAUUAGAAGGUGAGCUGAUAGAAGCAUUUUAUAAUAGCUCUUCGUUGGAGUUAUUGGAUCUCAGAGAGAAUAAGUUCACUGGAAGUAUCCCUCAAUGGAUUGGCACUCUAUCAAGCAUGAGAUUUUUUCUACUCAGCGGUAACCAUUUUGAAGGCAUGAUCCCUCACCAGUUUUGUGAGAUGAACAAACUAAGUUUGAUAGACCUUUCUUUUAAUUUCCUUUCGGGUCAAAUCCCGCAGUGCUUUGGUAACAUAUCAAUGGGGAAAACCAAGGAGAACUCUGAGUUAACAAUAAUUGUACUCGACAGAGUGCCAAUUAUAGUGACAUUUAAGACAAAGGGAAAUUCUUAUCCUUACAAAGGUUACAUCCUCAAUAACAUGUCUGGAAUUAAUCUCUCUUCCAAUAAAUUACAUGGUGAAAUUCCGGACAGCCUUGGAAAGUUAAGUGAGAUCCAUGCAAUCAACUUGUCCCACAACAAUCUUAAUGGAACAAUUCCAGCAACAUUCUCAAGCCUACAUCAGAUCGAGAGCUUAGAUCUCUCCUAUAACAACUUGGGUGGGAAGAUCCCCAAUGGUCUGAUUAAGUUAAACACUUUAGAAGUCUUCAACGUGUCACAUAACAAUUUAACAGGUACUAUACCAGAGAAAGGUCAGUUUGGAACCUUUGGUGAAGAUAGCUACCAGGGAAAUCCUUAUCUUUGUGGUCGUCCAUUACCAAUCAACUGUACUAGCACUAGAUCAUCACCUGUCCUGCCAUCUGCUAAUGAUGAAAGUGAGGAGCGCGGUUUCAUGGACAUGGAGGUCUUCUAUGUAAGCUUCAUCGUAUCUUACAUAUGUGUUGUGCUUUGCAUUGCUACAGUUCUGUACAUAAAUCCUCAUUGGAGAAGUGUAUGGUUCCAUUUCAUUGAGAUUUAUACAAUCCAAUUCUGAGGGCCAAGUGUUCUGGAAAGUAUUCCCCUAUUCAAAAUGAAGAUUUGAUCAUUUGAAGUAACGAACCAGUUGCAGGUUUGACUUUGACGUGAUUUGAUGGUGUAACUAUUAUUGAAGUUGAGUAUCAAACAUUUGGUUAACGAAAAGAUUUAUAUUAAUGCUUCGCUAGUUAUUUAUUUACAAAAAAAUUAAAUAAAUAAUAAAUAGAUAAA